UUCUGUUUCACCCCAAACAUCCCACAUGCCGAUGCUCUGCUCCUGAGCUGUCGCUCCCACUCUGCCCUGGAGGCCACCAAGCAGGGUGGGCGGUGUUAGUUCCCUGUGGCUGCUGAGACCAAGUACCGCAGACCGAGCGCCUUAAAACACCAGGAGCCCCUCCUCUCACAGGCCGGGCGGGAGUCUGAUCAGUGUUGGCGGCUGAAGCCAAGGGAGGGCCACAUUUGAACAACACGGCAGACAAGAUGAGGCAUGGCCACGUUCAUGAGGAUGCGUCUGUACAUCCACAAGAACAUCUUGGACAGACGUCGAAGUUAGGAACGCAAUUCUGCAUAUUGGCUCUAGCUGUCCUGAGACUGCCACUUGACCUGAAUGCUGGUUUGACAACACUGAGUAGAGAAAACAGUGAUUAGUUUAAAUACUGUGAUCAAUACAAAAAUUCCAAGGAGCAGCAGAAGGAGAAAUUGUAAUCCGGACUGUGGAAAUGUGCCAAAGCCUGUGGGAAGCCAACUAAACAAAUCGUUCAGACUGGGUGUAGGAUCGCUAAAGGCACUUCCGUACUUUCUCACGUGACUUAACAAAAAUGAGAGGUUGGAAGAUUCAUCAGGUAUAAAAACACAACAUUCAGCUUGGAAGACAGCACAAGGACCACCUUGUGACCCACUUGUCAUGUCCAGGGCCGUUCCAUUUUGGAGGAUGGCCUUUCUCAUUAAAGACAUUUCAGUAUUCAAUAGUGAUAUUCCAGUUCGGCUACUGUUAAGAGCCUGUUGGGUGAACUGAGUCAAGGCUUCUGUAUGCAAUAUGACAUCUUAUAACCCUAUAGAAGGAACAAAUGGGGCAGCUAAGUGACUGUACCAGUGAAAACCUGCACGAGUCCACCUGGCUUUAAGGAGAGGGAGAUUAGUGACAGUUGUUAAUUUGGGGCAAGCCCUUCCUUGCAUCCACGGGGAACCGAGGGUGCAACGUCCUAGCCACCCAAGUGGAAGCCAGGGCCAAAGAUUUAUUCCACGUAGCCACUGAGUUCCAUUAGGGGCCACCCAGUAAAUGCCUGGUCGUCAAGAUCAGUCUGUCUCAAAUCAGUCACUUUCUUUAAGUUUAAUGGUGUUUUUGGACAACUCAGGGGGUAUCCACCCCACGUCGUGAGUGCAGUUAGGUUGCUCUUGUUUUGAGUGGGUUUUUUUUGAGUAGCACAA
rnacentral:lncRNA from 1 species